UGGUGGUGAUUGUUCCCCGACAAUUUAGAACAUUUGAGGGAUACAGCGCGAGGGAAGAAGUGUGUGUGAUCAUUAGGUUGUGUAUAUUGAUUUUGGUGUUAACUUUUUCAUUGAUGUUGUUCCGUGAUAAAUUAGAGCAUUUAAGGCAUACAGAGCGAGGAAAGAAGUGCGUUCGAGCUUUAGGUUCUGUAUAGUGAUAUUUAGGAGGAAUGCAAAGAGUUCGAGUGUCAUCACAUCAGUCUCCGGUGCAUAAGCUGGGGGAUUCGCAGAUGACCUUGUCUCCGAAGUUUAAGUUAGCUGCAACGUGUUCAGCUUUGCUCGAUCCUGCACUAGAAUUCGAGCUAUCUAUGAGGGGGGAGCCUUUGAUUCCUGGACUUCCGGAUGAUGUAGCUCUGCAGUNUGUCAUCCCUACUCCGUCCCAUAAUAAGUGUCAUAGUUUCCGUAUUGAGUUGUCCUAUAACAACUGUCCUACUUCUAAAAAAAGUAAGUAUGGUCAGGGACGGAGCCAGGAAUUUAGUUCGGGGGGGGGGGGGGAGGCGGUAGCCCCCGAGAAUUUUUUUUUGGGUCAUUCAGUAUAUUUAAGGUAUUUUUUUAUAUUAAAAUACGAGCAUAAUACUAAUAAUAACGAACAAUAUUUUCAUAGAUUAUAUAGUUUCAAUAUAUCACAAAACUUUUUUUGGAAAUUCCGUAUAUUUAAGACAUUUUUUAUUAAAAGGCAGCAUAAUAAUAAUAAUAACAAACAACAUAUCCAUAGAUUAUAUAUUUUCUAUAUAUUACAAAUUAGUUUCAAUACAUUAUAAUUUUUUUUAGCAUUUCAUACAUAUUAGGCAUUUUUUUAUUAAAAGACAAGUAUAAUAGUAAUAAUAACAAACAAUAUUUCAUAGAUCAUAUAGUUUUAAAAAACAAAAUUAUCCUUAAAUUAAGUAUAUAUGAGAGAAUAUAAUAACCAAAUACUCUUUUAUAAAACAAAAUUAUUUUAUAAUAGGUAUAAACAUAUAUCUAUAUAUAUUUUAAAUUAAAAAAAAAACUCAAAAUUUGGGAGGGGGCUCUAGCCCCCCCUAGCCCCCUGGCUCCGUCUGUGAGUAUGCUCCACCACCUUUUACCUUUAAUCAUCUCCACUUUAAUUUUAUUUCUCACAUAAUAAAAGUGAACUCCAUCACUUUUUAUUUUUUACUCUAUAAAUCAUACUCACCUAAAUUUUUGUGCUGAAAUAAGCUAAGACACUUUAUUUUUAUUAAAAUCGUGUCAUCCUUCAGUGGUAAGAUAUUUGGGGGGGGGGGUGACAGAGGGAGUAAGGAAACAUAAUGGUACAAAACGUCGCUUUAACGCGCCGAAAUCGCGCGUUAGAUUCGUCGACAAAAAGUGGCGUUUGCCGCAUAUGCUACAGUUUAAUCGUUUUUAAUUAAUUAAUUAAUUAAUUGAUGCAUUUAUUUAUUUAUUUUAUUUUGUUGUUUGGAGGCUGGACCAUUCGAUCUUGCACGAAUGAAGAUAUCAUUCCUUUUUAUACACUCAACCAUGAUAAAUACCAUACAAUUUCCCAACUGAAAAACGCCAAAAGAUCUCCAUAAAAAAGUAAUCUUUCCUGGUAAAUCAUUCGCUACCGUGAAAUCUGCGAGAGCCCCCCAUGUUUUAAUCAAACUGUUUCUCAUUCAACAAUCAAUCCGUGAGUUUGAAUUUCCCUUCAUUUUUUCCUUUCUUUUUGGCCCUUUGAAAUUUUUUUAUUUGAAUUUUUAUUGUUACUGUUUGUUUGCCCUAAUAAAAAAGUUCCUUUCUUGAACUACUUUCUGCUUUACCCGUGUGUUGUAUUUUUUUUACUUUCGCUUAAUUGGGUUUUUGACAUCUGAAUUAUUGAAAUCUUGCACCUUUUGGUUUGUGGGUUUUCUUGAAUUCUGAGCUCUUGCUGUAAUAAUACUGUGUUGGAUGUGAAUUGGGGUUUUGAGAUUAUUUGAGUAUGUUUAUAGGCUGUUGUUGUGAAUCUUGAAUUUGCAGUUUUUAUUUAUGAUGUUUCUUGCUUCAUUUUUCAUUUUUCUUUCUCAGUUGCGUGUAAAGACUUUUGUGACUCUUGGAUGCUGAAAGUUUGAGCUUUGAAGAACUAAAGUUGAGAUGUGAAGUAGUGGCUGAGGUUUUGAUGAAUCAAGUGAAUCAUUUCGGUUUAAUUUCUUUAAGCAAAUGAGUUUGAGUGGAGAGUUUGAUGAUGUUUGGUAUCGUGUAUUUGAAUUGUGAGAGGGCAUAGGUGUGUGAGAGAUUUGAGGGUUUAUGAUUUUGGGUGUUAUGAUUUGUAAUUUGGACUGAAAUCGAGGUGUAACGUUGUUUUUGAUGUUGUGGUGGUGAUUGUUCCCCGACAAUUUAGAACAUUUGAGGGAUACAGCGCGAGGGAAGAAGUGUGUGUGAUCAUUAGGUUGUGUAUAUUGAUUUUGGUGUAACUUUUUCAUUGAUGUUGUUCCGUGAUAAAUUAGAGCAUUUAAGGCAUACAGAGCGAGGAAAGAAGUGCGUUCGAGCUUUAGGUUCUGUAUAGUGAUAUUUAGGAGGAAUGCAAAGAGUUCGAGUGUCAUCACAUCAGUCUCCGGUGCAUAAGCUGGGGGAUUCGCAGAUGACCUUGUCUCCGAAGUUUAAGUUAGCUGCAACGUGUUCAGCUUUGCUCGAUCCUGCACUAGAAUUCGAGCUAUCUAUGAGGGGGGAGCCUUUGAUUCCUGGACUUCCGGAUGAUGUAGCUCUGCAGUGCCUCCUUCGCGUGCCAGUCGAUA
rnacentral:lncRNA from 1 species